rnacentral:rRNA from 1 species
CCUACGGGCGGCAGCAGUGAGGAAUAUUGGUCAAUGGGCGCGAGCCUGAACCAGCCAAGUCGCGUGAGGGAGGACGGCCCUACGGGUUGUAAACCUCUUUUGCCGGGGAGCAACGGGCCCCACGUGUGGCGUCACUGAGAGUACCCGGAGAAAAAGCAUCGGCUAACUCCGUGCCAGCAGCCGCGGUAAUACGGAGGAUGCGAGCGUUAUCCGGAUUUAUUGGGUUAAAAGGGUGCGUAGGCGGAUCGUUAAGUCAGUGGUCAAAUUGAGGGGCCAAACCCCUUCUCGCCAUUGAAACUGGCGUUCUUGAGUGGAAGAGAAGUAGGCGGAAUGCGUGGUGUAGCGGUGAAAUGCAUAGAUAUCACGCAGAACCCCGAUUGCGAAGGCAGCUUACUAAACUGCCACUGACAUUGAUGCUCGAAAGUGUGGGUAUCAAACAGGAUUAGAUACCCCAGUAGUC